AGGAGGAGAUAGCCACAUUCCAAUGUGUGCGAAUCGGCAAAAAAUGCGAAAUAGCCCUUUAACCAUACAUUUGACAGAUACGUGCCUAUUGACUUUUUUGUAGAUCUUAUUGAGAUACACGUGAUUGUCAAAUUGUGUGUCAAUAUGACAAAGUGUAUAGGCGUGACACUCAACAAUGUGUAUUUUUACCUUAGGAGACAAGAAAAAAUGGACUUUUUUCUCCUGCCAUGGGGGGGCGCUCUUUUGGGGAGUAAAAAUUCCUUCACAAAUGUGUUGAUGGCUGGACAUCGCAUCAUCCUAGAAAACUUGGAGGCCAGUGAGGACAAAAAUAAAAAGUUAUAAGACUUUUAAGAAUGUGGAUUUUUGGGUUAUCUUUGGCGCCCCCUAGAAAGUAAACCGUGGGGUGCAGCAUCAUGAUUUGUACAACUUUUAAUGGCCAUGGGGUGUAGAUUGGCCUGAGCAAAUUUGGUGCCGGUGGAACGAAAGCCUUCGGAGGAGUUAGCGAAAUUCCAAUGUGUGCGGAUCGGCAAAAAAAGCGAAAUAGCCCUUUAACCGUACAUUUGGCAGAUACGCCCGCACUGACUUUUUCGUAGAUCUUAUUGAGAUACACAUGUGUGUCAAAUUUUGUGUCAUUUUGACAAAGCGUACAGGCAUCAGGUGAGUUUUCACCAUAGGGGGCGCUAUGGAGCCAUUUUUCAUUUUUUUGUUUGGACGACUUCAGAAUAUCAAAUUUUUCACCAGGCCCGGUCGUCCUGCCAAAUUUCCUGAGUUUUCGCCAGUGGGAAGUGGGCCAUUUUCCAGUUUAAAGCGGAGGAAAAAUAACGAAAGAAGAAUCCAUCAGGAACAAGAGGGCUCUCGCAGCUGCUUAGCAGCUACGCUCGGGCCCUAAGAAAGAAAGAAAGAAAGAAAGAAAGAAAGAAAGAAACAAAGAAAAACCACUUGGGGAAUAAUAGGGCCUACGCCCGGCUGCUCUGCAGCUGGCUCGGGCCCUAACUAGGGCCCCGUCGGGGCACUGGCGGGCUCGAGCCGUGUCGCGCCGCCCCCCGCGCGACCGCCUACCCCUCCCGAUCGCGUCACACUCGAGGUCCAAAGAUGGUGUGCGCACUUGUCUGUGGUCAUUUACCAUUAUAAUGAAUGGGAGGCGCAGUUUCUACCAAAACGCUCGCUGCAGACAUACUCCAUGUCCUUUUUGAAAAAAUUCUGGACCAGGAGUGAGGGCACAAACACAGCUAGUAUAUAUCCAAAUGGCAAGUUGCUCCUCCUUUCGGUUUUGCCGAGAGAGCGAUGCGUUUGAGCCAUUGAGCGAUGGGCAGGAAAAACUUGACUUUUUCCCCUGCCAUGGGGGGGCGCUCUUAUGGGGAGAAAAAAUUCCUUCACAAAUGUGUUGAUGACUGAACAUUGCAUCAUCCUAGAAAACUUGGAGGCCAGUGAGGACAAAAAUAAAGUUAUAAGACUUUUAAAAAUGUGGAUAUUUGGGUCCUCUUUGGCGCCCCCUAGAACGUAAACCGUGGGGUGCAGCGUCAUGAUUUUUACAACUUUGAAU